rnacentral:lncRNA from 1 species
GAGGAUUCGAGCAGUAAAUAGUGAGCUCUUGUACAGUCAUCGGCACUUCCAUCCAUUUUCCCUUUGUUGGUUUUGGGUUGGGGAGACUUGUUUCGCUGUUAAUGAACAGACAAGCGUCCCAUGGAAUCAAAAAGAAAUAAUCAUUAGGAUGGAUAUUCUCUUGGAUCUAAGUAAUGAGUAAUGAGAAAGCCUCACCUUUUUCUAUUACUUAGCAUUUAAAACCGAUCAGUUUUACCCGAGGGCCGCCCAUCGGAACAUCUGUGGGAUGGGAAGCAUUGAAUUCUUGUUGUGAAAAGGCUAUCCCGGCCAGAGAGAGAGAGAAGAGAGAGACGUUCCCCCAUGGUAGCAUAUUUGUGCUUGGUGAUGUAACGUAACAGUGAGCAGCUUGUGAUUAUUUUAGCCGCUGGAUGGUAGACUUUUUGGGCACUGAACAUACGGAAGAUUCGGUAUCGCAGAGAGUACCUUUUGUCAGGCAAGCAUCUUCUGCUAAUCUGAUCUCUGUUCUUCCGUUAAUUAAUAUAUUUUGUUGCCUCUCUCCUCACGUGAGGUACGACGACAGACGCCCC